UACGAAGGGGGCUAGCGUUGCUCGGAAUUACUGGGCGUAAAGGGCGCGCAGGCGGCUGCUCAAGUCAGGCGUGAAAGGCCUGGGCUCAACCCGGGAAUUGCGCUUGAGACUGGGCUGGCUUGAGUGCGGGAGAGGAUGGUGGAAUUCCCAGUGUAGAGGUGAAAUUCGUAGAUAUUCGCAAGAACACCAGUGGCGAAGGCGGCUGACUGGUCCGGUUCUGACGCUGAGGCGCGAAAGCGUGGGGAGCAAACAGG
rnacentral:rRNA from 1 species